rnacentral:lncRNA from 1 species
GUUCUAGAAACCUGACCCUUUCUUCUGCUGCUACAGAUUCUAUUGGCUUCUGGAGAUUCAGAGACGUCCUUCCUCAAGAAGGAACCUCUGCCUGGCCUUCAGCAGGGCCACUGUCAUGUGCGAUAUUCACUUAGAGCCUUAUCACAUUUGUGGCUGUAGAGGUGUUUGCGUGCCUUGUUUAAUUUAUCCCACUAGACUGCCUUUCGAACGGAGCCCGGGGAGGACAGGCUGGCAGAGGAGGGAGGAGGGUUUCUAGCUGAGAGAGACUGCGGCUGUGGGCCUGCAGCCUACCCCUCUUCAAGCUCUCCGGAGCCGUUCCUGCGAAACCAGCCCCCACAAGUGGCUGAUGCUCCUGUCCCUCUUCUGGCCUGAUUGCUCCCUCUCCUGACCCCUAAGCGUAGUUACCUACUCAGGACUAAAACAAAACAAUCCAGAAAGAAUGCUUUCUAAGAAUAAAGAAAAACAAAACAAACGCCUGAUGAAGAUCAAAGUCUCUACAUGGCAUGGAAGGACCCUAACCACCUUGCAUGAACCUGCAAAGGAUUUGAUGCUAGUGACAUCUGAUGAGCUCUAGGGCCAUGGGUAAAUCCCUGAAUCACAGGGAGCACCAUCUGUAAAGCAGUGAUAAUGAUACAUUUUUUCAUUUGUAAAGUGAUGAUUUAAAAAAAUAUCCUACCUCAUGGUAUCUUCAUGAAAAUGAAACAAGAUAAUGAAUGAAAAACACACUUGUUUGUCCAGUGCUUGGUAUAUAGUAGGCAUUUAAUUAUAUGUGCGUGAGUGUGCAUGUGUGUGUUUCAUGAAUUACCGCUCCCCAUCUUGCAUCACCAAAUACGUCUCAUA